UACAUGGGGUGCAACCGUUGCUCGGAAUUAUUGGGCGUAAAGCGCACGUAGGCGGUUUGUUAAGUCGGAUGUGAAAUCCCUCGGCUCAACUGAGGAAGUGCAUCCGAAACUGGCAGGCUUGAGUACUAAAGAGGGUCGCGGAAUUCCCGGUGUAGAGGUGAAAUUCGUAGAUAUCGGGAGGAACACCGGUGGCGAAGGCGGGUCUCUGGGCCGAUACUGACGCUGAGGAGCGAAAGCGUGGGGAGCGAACAGG
rnacentral:rRNA from 1 species